ensembl:lncRNA
AUCUUUUCCUGGAGGUUGCUCCUUGUGGAGUUUUUGUAAGCCUACAAUACUGACUCUUCACUUGGGAUCUGAUUGCACUGGGAAUUUAUCCUGGGAAGUUGAAGCCAGCAUCUUCAACAGAUUGAUCCCACCACUCUCCCCUCCAAUGAAGUGUCCAAAGAACCACAUAGAUCUUGAGAGUGUUUGUACAAAGCACAGUGAAGUUGAACUUGAACUCUCAUGUCCAUUUUCUCCCUUCUACUUCUGUUUCUGCCUGGAGCAAAUGCUGCUUAAUCUUUUUCCAUGUUCUUAAUCAGUGUCUUUGGCCUGGGAAAUAUCCACCAGAAGACUCUUGUUAUUCAAUAUUACAAGGAAGAAAAAACAACAUAAAGGAAAUUACUUCACCUCCUUUUAAUCAUUUGUUUUUUGUAACAUUUGUUUGAAUACGAAACAAUGUGGUAAGAAACUUCAAAUUUUGCUCUCAUCAUACUAGGAAGGGCAGAACAACAAAGGUAGGAUGCCUGUGAGGGAAGCAGAGUAUGUGGUUUUCUAAAUGGCAAAGACACUUUACAUAGCCUCAGUCCUAAACCUGCUCACACCUAAACUUUACUUCAACACCCAACAUCCUCAGGUUAUGGCCUGAGAGGGAUUACUAAAACGUCAGAAGUUUGUUGGUGUUGCAAGCAUCAGGACUCUAUUACAGGUUUUGACUGAAUCUUCAGGGUUGGCUCUGUCCCAUUCAUAAGUAGAGUUACUACUUUUUCAAGGUCAUGAGAGAAGACCAUGUGGAAGCCCAGAGAAAUAAGAAAAACGAUCUGAAGGCAGCUUCCUUCGUCCUCCUUCCUCUGCUCUGGAUUUGUAUUUAUUAUUUAAAAAAUGCUGAGGAAAUUUUCAAAAUCCGUAAGCAGUUAGUUUUACACCCAAUAUUAAGUUUGUGUUUGAGCAUCCUCUUUACAGAUCUUUCCUCUCAAUACCUAGAUUUAUCUGGAAACAUGAAUGAGAUUCUGUACUUCAGAAUAAAUGGUGUAUGGAUUUAUGUAUAUGCUUUUAAGCUUGAGCUUGUAUCAAGAAACUAAAGAAUUGCAUUCAAACCAUGUGCCUGUUUUCACCAUCUGUAUUAAAUGUCAAAACUAUUUCCUUCUUAAAGACUUUAGAAAACAGGUCAGUGAUGCAAACUUGUCUUUUUGCUUUCUAAAAGAAAAGAUGGUAAAUGGCAACAAGUAGAAAAACUGGGAGUUUACCAAAGAAGGUCAUGCUGUCCCUCCUUUGUGGCCCCCAAAGGGAGCUGACUGAGUGCACUGAAUCAGUGCAUUUCUCUUCCUCCUCUUUCUCUUGCCAGCUGCUUACCCCAGCAUGCUUUCACUUGAGCAUCAGUAAAGGUCUUUGCGCUUGGCAGCAAGACCAGAGUGACCUCUGAGAAGUAAAAACCAAUAAUAAAUAUUUGU